rnacentral:rRNA from 1 species
UGGGGAAUAUUGCACAAUGGGGGAAACCCUGAUGCAGCAACGCCGCGUGAGUGAUGAAGGCCUUCGGGUUGUAAAGCUCUGUCUUUGGGGACGAUAAUGACGGUACCCAAGGAGGAAGCCACGGCUAACUACGU